GAAAUACGAAAUCCAAAAGUAGGCUUCUAACCUAACUUUUAAGCAGCGAAAUUCUGUUUAUAUUUCU
rnacentral:tRNA from 1 species